rnacentral:rRNA from 1 species
AGAGUUUGAUCCUGGCUCAGGAUGAACGCUGGCGGCGUGCUUAACACAUGCAAGUCGAACGAACCUUCGGGUUAGUGGCGGACGGGUGAGUAACGCGUGAGAAUCUGCCCUCAGGAGGGGGAUAACGGCUGGAAACGGCCGCUAAUACCCCAUAUGCCGAGAGGUGAAAUGAAUUUCGCCUGAGGAUGAGCUCGCGUCUGAUUAGCUAGUUGGUGGGGUAAGAGCCUACCAAGGCUUCGAUCAGUAGCUGGUCUGAGAGGAUGACCAGCCACACUGGGACUGAGACACGGCCCAGACUCCUACGGGAGGCAGCAGUGGGGAAUUUUCCGCAAUGGGCGAAAGCCUGACGGAGCAACGCCGCGUGAGGGAUGAAGGCCUCUGGGCUGUAAACCUCUUUUCUCAAGGAAGAAGAUCUGACGGUACUUGAGGAAUAAGCCACGGCUAAUUCCGUGCCAGCAGCCGCGGUAAUACGGGAGUGGCAAGCGUUAUCCGGAAUUAUUGGGCGUAAAGCGUCCGCAGGCGGCCUUGAAAGUCUGCUGUUAAAGCGUGGAGCUUAACUCCAUUUCAGCAGUGGAAACUACAAGGCUAGAGUGUGGUAGGGGCAGAGGGAAUUCCCGGUGUAGCGGUGAAAUGCGUAGAUAUCGGGAAGAACACCAGUGGCGAAGGCGCUCUGCUGGGCCAUAACUGACGCUCAUGGACGAAAGCCAGGGGAGCGAAAGGGAUUAGAUACCCCUGUAGUCCUGGCCGUAAACGAUGAACACUAGGUGUCGGGGGAAUCGACCCCUCCGGUGUCGUAGCCAACGCGUUAAGUGUUCCGCCUGGGGAGUACGCACGCAAGUGUGAAACUCAAAGGAAUUGACGGGGGCCCGCACAAGCGGUGGGGUAUGUGGUUUAAUUCGAUGCAACGCGAAGAACCUUACCAGGGUUUGACAUCCUGCGAAUCCCUUGGAAACGAGGGAGUGCCUUCGGGAGCGCAGUGACAGGUGGUGCAUGGCUGUCGUCAGCUCGUGUCGUGAGAUGUUGGGUUAAGUCCCGCAACGAGCGCAACCCACGUCUUUAGUUGCCAGCAUUGAGUUGGGCACUCUAGAGAGACCGCCGGUGAUAAACCGGAGGAAGGUGUGGAUGACGUCAAGUCAUCAUGCCCCUUACAUCCUGGGCUACACACGUACUACAAUGCUACGGACAAAGGGCAGCAAACUCGCGAGGGCUAGCAAAUCCCAUAAACCGUGGCUCAGUUCAGAUCGUAGGCUGCAACUCGCCUACGUGAAGGAGGAAUCGCUAGUAAUCGCAGGUCAGCAUACUGCGGUGAAUACGUUCCCGGGCCUUGUACACACCGCCCGUCACACCAUGGAAGUUGGCCACGCCCGAAGUCGUUACUCCAACCCGCAAGGGAGGAGGAUGCCGAAGGUGGGGCUGAUGACUGGGGUGAAGUCGUAACAAGGUA